rnacentral:rRNA from 1 species
GGGUUGUGAGGUUAAGCGACUAAGCGUACACGGUGGAUGCCCUGGCAGUCAGAGGCGAUGAAGGGCGUGCUAAUCUGCGAUAAGCGCCGGUAAGGUGAUAUGAACCGUUAUAACCGGCGAUACCCGAAUGGGGAAACCCAGUGUGAUUCGUCACACUAUCAUUAACUGAAUCCAUAGGUUAAUGAGGCGAACCGGGGGAACUGAAACAUCUAAGUACCCCGAGGAAAAGAAAUCAACCGAGAUUCCCCCAGUAGCGGCGAGCGAACGGGGAGGAGCCCAGAGCCUGAAUCAGCAUGUGUGUUAGUGGAAGCGUCUGGAAAGGCGUGCGAUACAGGGUGACAGCCCCGUACACAAAAGCGCAUGUGCUGUGAGCUCGAUGAGUAGGGCGGGACACGUGGUAUCCUGUCUGAAUAUGGGGGGACCAUCCUCCAAGGCUAAAUACUCCUGACUGACCGAUAGUGAACCAGUACCGUGAGGGAAAGGCGAAAAGAACCCCGGCGAGGGGAGUGAAAAAGAACCUGAAACCGUGUACGUACAAGCAGUGGGAGCCCCACCACUAAGCCAGUGGUGAACUCCACAUACGCAUCCUUUGCUGAGGAUACGGUUAACGGAGCGAAAGCGACGUUCAACCUCAAAAGAAGCAGAGGGGGCUUAGUGGUGGGGUGACUGCGUACCUUUUGUAUAAUGGGUCAGCGACUUAUAUUCUGUAGCAAGGUUAACCGUAUAGGGGAGCCGAAGGGAAACCGAGUCUUAACCGGGCGUUAAGUUGCAGGGUAUAGACCCGAAACCCGGUGAUCUAGCCAUGGGCAGGUUGAAGGUUGGGUAACACUAACUGGAGGACCGAACCGACUAAUGUUGAAAAAUUAGCGGAUGACCUGUGGCUGGGGGUGAAAGGCCAAUCAAACCGGGAGAUAGCUGGUUCUCCCCGAAAGCUAUUUAGGUAGCGCCUCGUGAACUCAUCUCCGGGGGUAGAGCACUGUUUCGGCUAGGGGGCCAUCCCGGCUUACCAACCCGAUGCAAACUGCGAAUACCGGAGAAUGUUAUCACGGGAGACACACGGCGGGUGCUAACGUCCGUCGUGAAGAGGGAAACAACCCAGACCGCCAGCUAAGGUCCCAAAGUCAUGGUUAAGUGGGAAACGAUGUGGGAAGGCCCAGACAGCCAGGAUGUUGGCUUAGAAGCAGCCAUCAUUUAAAGAAAGCGUAAUAGCUCACUGGUCGAGUCGGCCUGCGCGGAAGAUGUAACGGGGCUAAACCAUGCACCGAAGCUGCGGCAGCGACGCUGAUGCGUUGUUGGGUAGGGGAGCGUUCUGUAAGCCUGCGAAGGUGGCCUGUGAGGGUUGCUGGAGGUAUCAGAAGUGCGAAUGCUGACAUAAGUAACGAUAAAGCGGGUGAAAAGCCCGCUCGCCGGAAGACCAAGGGUUCCUGUCCAACGUUAAUCGGGGCAGGGUGAGUCGACCCCUAAGGCGAGGCCGAAAGGCGUAGUCGAUGGGAAACGGGUUAAUAUUCCCGUACUUGGUGUUACUGCGAAGGGGGGACGGAGAAGGCUAUGUUGGCCGGGCGACGGUUGUCCCGGUUUAAGCGUGUAGGUGUGUGUUCCAGGUAAAUCCGGUUCACUUUAACACUGAGGCGUGACGACGAGGCACUACGGUGCUGAAGCAACAAAUGCCCUGCUUCCAGGAAAAGCCUCUAAGCAUCAGGUAACAUCAAAUCGUACCCCAAACCGACACAGGUGGUCAGGUAGAGAAUACCAAGGCGCUUGAGAGAACUCGGGUGAAGGAACUAGGCAAAAUGGUGCCGUAACUUCGGGAGAAGGCACGCUGACAUGUAGGUGAAGUGAUUUACUCAUGGAGCUGAAGUCAGUCGAAGAUACCAGCUGGCUGCAACUGUUUAUUAAAAACACAGCACUGUGCAAACACGAAAGUGGACGUAUACGGUGUGACGCCUGCCCGGUGCCGGAAGGUUAAUUGAUGGGGUCAGCGCAAGCGAAGCUCCUGAUCGAAGCCCCGGUAAACGGCGGCCGUAACUAUAACGGUCCUAAGGUAGCGAAAUUCCUUGUCGGGUAAGUUCCGACCUGCACGAAUGGCGUAAUGAUGGCCAGGCUGUCUCCACCCGAGACUCAGUGAAAUUGAACUCGCUGUGAAGAUGCAGUGUACCCGCGGCAAGACGGAAAGACCCCGUGAACCUUUACUAUAGCUUGACACUGAACAUUGAGCCUUGAUGUGUAGGAUAGGUGGGAGGCUUUGAAGUGUGGACGCCAGUCUGCAUGGAGCCGACCUUGAAAUACCACCCUUUAAUGUUUGAUGUUCUAACGUGGACCCGUAAUCCGGGUUGCGGACAGUGUCUGGUGGGUAGUUUGACUGGGGCGGUCUCCUCCUAAAGAGUAACGGAGGAGCACGAAGGUUGGCUAAUCCUGGUCGGACAUCAGGAGGUUAGUGCAAUGGCAUAAGCCAGCUUGACUGCGAGCGUGACGGCGCGAGCAGGUGCGAAAGCAGGUCAUAGUGAUCCGGUGGUUCUGAAUGGAAGGGCCAUCGCUCAACGGAUAAAAGGUACUCCGGGGAUAACAGGCUGAUACCGCCCAAGAGUUCAUAUCGACGGCGGUGUUUGGCACCUCGAUGUCGGCUCAUCACAUCCUGGGGCUGAAGUAGGUCCCAAGGGUAUGGCUGUUCGCCAUUUAAAGUGGUACGCGAGCUGGGUUUAGAACGUCGUGAGACAGUUCGGUCCCUAUCUGCCGUGGGCGCUGGAGAACUGAGGGGGGCUGCUCCUAGUACGAGAGGACCGGAGUGGACGCAUCACUGGUGUUCGGGUUGUCAUGCCAAUGGCACUGCCCGGUAGCUAAAUGCGGAAGAGAUAAGUGCUGAAAGCAUCUAAGCACGAAACUUGCCCCGAGAUGAGUUCUCCCUGAGACUUUAGGUCUCCUGAAGGAACGUUGAAGACGACGACGUUGAUAGGCCGGGUGUGUAAGCGCAGCGAUGCGUUGAGCUAACCGGUACUAAUGAACCGUGAGGCUUAACCUUACAACGCCGAAG